UCAGUAAUUUUUGUGUAUUUUUUUAAAAAAAUUUCAAUUUUUUUUUCAAUUUUUUAUUGCAAAAAAAUUGGCUGCCGUUGGAUUGAAGGAAAAAAAUGAAUAGGAGAGCCAAUAGGCUGCCACGUGGCAUGUAGCCGUUGGCGGCUACUGUAGCGCGUCGUUUGAAUUUUUUUUUUUAAUGUUGGCGCGUGCAAUGCACGCGCCAACGGCUGGCGUCAGCCAUGAUGUCACCGCCCUCGGGCCCGCCCAGUCUCGUGGCCCCCACCUCUUGCCCGAGCUGCCUCACGCUGCUGGAAAUCCAUUUUUUUCCCAAACCCCCCAGCCCGAGUCCAUCUCCUGCUGCUGGACUUGCUCUUACCGCGAGUUUAAUAAGUAUGUAACAUACAAUUUUAUUUUUUUUUAUCUUUAAUAAAUUAUUAUUUUUUGCAUACGUGCUAUAUCAAGAAUGGGG
rnacentral:lncRNA from 1 species